rnacentral:misc_RNA from 1 species
CCUCACACAAGAGAAUGUCCUUUUCUCCAUGGACAAAAGUAGUGCACCCUCCCCCCCUGGUUACUUUCUCAUUACUCACUUGACAAACUCUUUCAGAAGAUUGGUCUCUAUCACCGAAAAUAGCAUCUUGCAGAUCCUCUGCCUUGCUCUCUUCAGAAAUGAUCUCUUUGGAAUUAUUUUUAGUCUUCAAAAUGCUAUUUUCACUAUUUACAAUUUCUUGAGAGACAAUCUGACAACUCUUUUCAACUGUUUUGCAAGUUUCCUUCAGUGGGCUUUCUGAAAUAUCGUCAGAGACGUUUUCAAUCCCUUUAACAACACGAACAUUGGAGUCCAAAUUCU